rfam:Lupinus angustifolius cultivar Tanjil chromosome LG02, whole genome shotgun sequence.
AGGUGCGAUCAUACCAGCACUAAUGCACCGGAUCCCUUCAGAACUCCUAGUUAAGCGUGCUUGGGCGAGAGUAGUACUAGGAUGGGUGACCUCCUGGGAAGUCCUCGUGUUGCACCUC